GAUGAAGAACGCAGCAAAAUGCGAUAAGUAAUGUGAAUUGCAGAAUUCAGUGAAUCAUCGAAUCUUUGAACGCACAUUGCGCCCGCCAGUAUUCUGGCGAGCAUGCCUGUUCGAGCGUCAUUUCAACCAUCAAGCCCCAGGCUUGUGUUGGAGCCCUGCGGCUGCCGCAGCCUCCCAAAACCAGUGGCGGGCUCGCUAUCACACCGAGUGCAGUAGUUUACUCUUCGCUCAGGGCGUGUGGCGGGUGCUAGCCGUGAAACCCCCAACUUCUCAAGGUUGACCUCGGAUCAGGUAGGAAUACCCGCUGAACUUAAGCAUAUCAAUAAGCGGAGGA
rnacentral:misc_RNA from 1 species